GAGGUUCAGCGAAGUGUUAAAACUCGAGCAAUGAGCCAUCAGCCAUGGUGACAAGCCUAAACUGAACUGAAUAACAACGAGUUCCACCAAGCAGAGAGAAAGGAAGCACGAAAUGGAAACAAAGUUCCCCGGGUUCCCCUUCGAGCCCUAUUCCAUACAGGUCGAUUUCAUGAAUGCUCUUUAUCGUUUUCUUGACAAGGGAGGUGUCUCCAUGCUUGAAAGCCCUACAGGGACCGGGAAAACCCUAAGCAUCAUUUGCAGCGUUUUGCAGUGGGUUGUUGAUAGGAAGCAGGUUGAUGCAGACUCCGUCACGAAUCAAACAUCUGGAGCUCAGUCUGCGUCUGAUGAUGAACCUGAUUGGAUGAAGGGUUUCGUUCCAGAAAAGAAAGACCGGGAACAGGAGAAGAAGAAGAAGACGAAGAAUCUUGCUCAUGGAUUGGCAAAUUCUGAUAAGAGAAGGUCUACGGGAAGUUGCAGAGAUUUUCUCUGUAAGAGCGCGGUAGAAGAGGACUUCUCUGAGAAGGAGGAGCUUGGGAAGCCUCAGAAGACGAGAGAUGCAUUGCAGUUGGAAGAUGAAAACGAGUUUUUGUUGGAUGAGUAUGAGAGCGAAGAGGAAGGUGUAGUUGGUGGGAAACCAAAGAGGAAGGAUUGUAGAAGUUGUUUUAGUUCAACGAGCGAUGAGGAGGAGGGGCAAUUAAGUGAUAAGGAAGAACAUGAGAGUUUCAAAGUUUAUUUCUGCAGCCGCACACAUUCUCAGCUCUCUCAGUUCGUGAAAGAGUUGAGGAGAACAAUUUUUUCUUCUGAGUUAGAAACAGUAUGUUUGGGCUCCAGGAAAAACUUAUGUAUUAAUGAAGAUGUCCUAAAGCUUGGGAAUUCCACACGGAUCAAUGAACGAUGCUUGGAGCUUCAGAAGAGCAACAAAAAAGAAGUUUCCAAAAUCAAGGUCCUUGCUGGAGGAAAAAUACGUAGAAUGAAAACUUCUUCUGGUUGUCCUUUGCUUAGAAAGCACAAACUACAAAAGCAGUUCAAGACUGAGGCCUCUCAAUAUGGUGCCUUGGAUAUUGAGGAUAUUGUUCAGCUUGGCAAAAGGAUCGGGACUUGCCCAUACUAUGGCUCCCGGAGCAUGGUCUCUGUAGCUAAUCUUGUGGUCCUUCCUUAUCAAUCUCUUCUUUUGAAGUCUUCUCGGGAAUCGCUUGGUUUGAAUUUGAAAAAUAGCAUUGUGAUUGUAGAUGAAGCUCACAAUCUAGCAGAUUCUCUUACCAGCAUGUAUGAUUCAAAAAUUAUGCUUUCACAGUUGGAGCAGGUACAUUCCCACUUAGAGCUGUACCUUGAUAGAUUCCGGAAACUGUUAGGAGCUGGCAAUCGAAGAUACAUACAAACUCUGAUUGUUCUAACUCGAGCAUUUCUCAGACUGUUACUUAAUGAGAAGAGUGCAGACUCUAUUGAUAUUUGUCAAAGGAAUGGACAUGCUACUGGACAGAAAUCUCUCCCUGAUUCCUCAAUGACCAUCAAUGAUUUUUUGUUUUCUCUUGAUAUUGACAACAUCAAUUUGGUUAAAUUGCAGCGCUAUGUGAAGGAGAGCAAUAUCGUUCACAAGGUGAGUGGGUAUGGAGAUAAGCAUGCCAGCUUGCAGAGAGGUUCUGUACUUGAUGAUGAUGGAAAAAGUGGUGGAGAGGGAAGCACUUUAUCUGCCUUUCAUUCACUACUUGAUUUCUUGCUUUCACUAACAAAUAGUGAUGGCGAUGGGAGGAUAAUAAUCUCAAGGAAAAAAUCCACUUACCCUGGACAACAAGAAGGAUAUUUGAAAUAUGUUAUGCUUGCUGGAGAGAAGAUUUUCUCUGAGAUUGUAGAUCAAGCACAUGCUGUCAUUUUAGCAGGGGGCACUCUGCAGCCCAUAGAGGAGACAAGGGAACGACUAUUCCCAUGGUUACUGCCUGAACAGUUGAAUUUCUUUUCCUGUGGUCAUAUUGUCCCUCCAGAGAGUAUUUUACCAAUUGCAGUUUCUCAUGGACCCUCUGGUCUGUCUUUUGAUUUUAGCUACUCUUCCAGGAGCUCUCCAAUCAUGAUAGAGGAGCUGGGUCGUUUACUUUGCAAUUUAGUGACAGUGGUUCCUGAAGGUAUUGUUGUGUUCUUCUCGUCAUUUGAGUACGAAAGACAGGUCUAUGAUGCAUGGAAUGCUUCAGGCAUCCUUGCAAGGAUUAUGAAGAAAAAACGUGUUUUCAGGGAACCCAGAAGUAGCACAGAUGUGGAAAUUAUUCUCAAGGAAUACAAAGAAAGCAUUGUCAAGUUGUCAGAUGGGGUUCCAAAAGAAAAUUCAGUACCAUACAAUGGUGUCAUUCUCUUAGCUGUGGUUGGGGGGAAGAUAUCAGAAGGUAUCAACUUCAGUGAUGGAAUGGGCAGAUGUGUGGUUAUGGUUGGACUUCCUUAUCCGAAUCCAUCUGACCUUGAGUUGAUGGAGAGAAUAAAGCAUAUUGAUGGAUUGGGUGUUUCAAAUAACAGCAGCACCCCCAAGAUUUCAGUUAGUAAUGAAUCUUCCUAUGCAGAUAUGGUUCAGGUUGGCUUUGACAUUCUAAAAGGUUGCAAGAGAAGAGGGAGAGAGUACUAUGAAAAUCUUUGCAUGAAGGCUGUAAAUCAAUCAAUUGGUAGAGCUAUCCGGCAUAUAAAUGACUAUGCAGCAAUCUUAUUGGUUGAUGCACGCUAUGCAUCUGAUCUCCUGAAAAGAAGCUUCUCUCACCCAAGAGACAAGCUUCCGAAAUGGAUAAAUGAGCGACUUGUUUCUUCUACUGCUAAUUAUGGAGAAAUUCAUCGUCUGCUGCAGCAGUUCUUCAAAUCCAAUCAAAAGAGAGGUGUCUAGGGUGUCUGACUGUAAAAAUAGUUAAAUUCCAAGAGAUGCAUAUCCAGGAUCACAUAUCCAUUUCAUCUAGCUUGCAGAAAACCUUGUGCAGAGCCAUUAUGAUCGGCUUCAUUGGAAUCAUCUUACAAGUUGGACAGGCUGGAGAUCCAUAUUACAAAUGGGGAAGGUCAGAAAGCAACUAUGCAUGGUUCUGACUGCCAUUUUGGAAUUAGGAGGCAUGUUCGUCACCUCAUGAAAUUUCACUUCUUUUUAAAUUGUGGGCUGGCCACGCAUAACAGAGCUUGAUGGAGGAAAGCUGGCCAAUAGUUGAACUGUGUGAGAAACUAAGGACAAUGAGAUUGGAUGGACGAAGGGAAAAAGUGACAUUCUUUUUAUGUUUUCCAUGGAUGAACAGGAACUUUCUAGUGGUCAAGUCUCAUGAAGGUGUGAAGAUAAUCUAUUAGAGAUAGUUGAGAAUUAGACAAAGUAGCCAGGUUUGUUCUUGUCAAAAGGAAGGCCCUGUACUGCUCAACCUUACAAAUUUCUAUGCUUUUCUUUGUUUAAAUCAGGAGGCAGCUUAGGCACCAUAGUUUGUGAUGAGGAUGUUUUGCCACUUGGAGCUGAGUUUACUUUGGCUCUAUUGAAUGAAGACUUGUUCCAACGGUGGAUAACAAAGCCAUGCCGCCCAUGUUCAAAUGGAGAUUAAAUUUCACAUGGUGACAUGAGUCAAGUGGCAGUGUUUUCCAUUGGCGAUGGACGAUAGUCCUCCCCUCCUUCCAUCAAGGAGGGGGAAGUGAAUUCCUUGGAGCUCUGCCACAUUUUAGAAAGUUGCAUGUAGAUGUGGCUAAGGAUUAUAUAACUGAAGUCUGAAGGUUAUCACAUGGAGAUGAAAUGUUACGCCUGGAACGUGGCUGGGAAGUGUAAGGGGGCAGUUUGGUUACGGUUGAAGUGGCUGAACUGAAUAACUACUUGCUUUAUCUUUUAGUGAAUCAGUUGUGAAGUACUCUUUUUUGCCAAUGAAGCAAGAAAUAUUUCAUCAGAAGAAAUGAUAAUCUCCAUGGGACCUCAAGCCAUUUAUUAAGGUGGUUGAGAUCGUAAACUCCGUGGUGGCUGAAGCUGAAAUUGGGUUAAUUAAUGUACUCGUCAAUUUCUCAACACCCAAGGCUAAGUUUAAGAGUGUUUAUUUGAAAUAUGAGCAUUCGAUGAAAAAGCACUUAUUUUAAAUAAGGGUAGUAUAGGACGUGAAUGAAGCAGAUCCUAGUAAUGGCACCUACACAGGCGCCCUCUCUCCUGGCAUUCAUUCUCCUUGUCUUCCCUCUCUGUCUCAUGGUCAUGGCGAAGCCGACAGACCAGAAACCUUUCAGUUGCUGCGUCACUUAGAAGGAAGCCGCAAGGGAGACAGAGUAAAAGGUCUGAGCGAAGCUAAACGCUAUCUCCAGAGAUUCGGCUACCUCGACCACCAUAACGACGAUGAUGAAUUCGACCAUCAAAACAUACCAGCUGAAGCCUGGACGCCAAGACGGUGAAACAAAUGAUGUUAUUGUUGCCUCGAUGCGGGUUCCCCGACAUCAUAAACGGCGAGACAUGGAUGCGAUCAGGAUGCAAAACCACUCUGGGCUUCUCUUCCCAUUAUGCCUUCUUGGAUAAGACCCCGAAGUGGCCACCUUAUCAGACCCAUCUCAAACCGGUCACCCGAUUGGUUUCAUUUCAUCCUAAAACCAUUUUUUUGGCCCAAAACCGUUGAUUUGAUUACCGAACUGUUGACCCGGGUGGUUGAAUAAUUGACUAAGACUAUUUUUGGCCAUUAUUAUUAUUUUAUUUUUAAGUCAGAAUGGAUUAUCUGUUCGAACCAGAUGGUCGGACCAUUUGACCUGGGAAUUGGUCCCCAGAAUGGUUCCUUGUCCAGUCUGGUUUUAAAAACCUUGUUGAUAUAUAUGUUCAACCCAGGAACCAGAUGGUC